rnacentral:lncRNA from 1 species
GUGGUUUAAACUAGUUCUAUCUCUAUCUCCUUAUCUCUUUAUCUCCUUAUCUCUAACUUAAACUCAAUUAUAAUUCUAACAUUCCCCCUCAGUCGUAGCGGGAGUGAAGCGGACGCUUGCGACUGAAUUUCAAGUCUUGCGCCUUUGUCAUCUUCUCCACCGCAUCAUCAUCAAUUGCGUCUCUGAUGGGUCGGUACUUAGGGCGGUGACUGUGUCCCCUUCUGGUGCCUUCCUUGUCUCUCCUCUAUUCCCUCCCGCAGUCACAGCGGGAGUGGCGUGGACGCUAGUGACGACGCGGACGCUGUUGACUGGAGUUGUUGCUGAUGAGUUGUUGUAGACCAAGUCAUUAAUGUUGAUGUCGAGGUAGCCGAUCAUGGUGAUGUAGCCGUGGUCGAGGUAGACGUGGUCGAGGUAGAUGUGGUCGAUGUCUGAUCGUCGUGGAUGAUGAAGCCGCAUGAAGCCGGAGGCACAAAAAAAUGCGCUAUGACGGAGCUGCGGACGUGGACGAUGCACCUUGCGGAUGUCAGAGGGUGCCGUCGGCGAUGAGUCCGCCGGUUUUGCCAGGACCGGAGGAAACCCAUCGAGCACACAUCGGUUUUGCCAGAACCGUGAGGCCGUGUAGGGGUCGUCACUAUUGUGACGCCAUGUCGAUGCAGUCGUGCCGUCGUGGAUGACGCGGUUGUUGCGUCGUCGGGGUCGCGCCUUGCAGAAAAAUCUGUCAGAGGACGCUAGUUGUCCAUCUUGUGGACGAGGGGUGGCGGCAUGUUGACGAAGAUGUUGGUGAAGACCAUGUUGAUGAAGACCUUGGCGAUGAAG